rnacentral:rRNA from 1 species
GAAGUGUGGACGCCAGUCUGCAUGGAGCCGACCUUGAAAUACCACCCUUUAAUGUUUGAUGUUCUAACGUUGACCCGUAAUCCGGGUUGCGGACAGUGUCUGGUGGGUAGUUUGACUGGGGCGGUCUCCUCCUAAAGAGUAACGGAGGAGCACGAAGGUUGGCUAAUCCUGGUCGGACAUCAGGAGGUUAGUGCAAUGGCAUAAGCCAGCUUGACUGCGAGCGUGACGGCGCGAGCAGGUGCGAAAGCAGGUCAUAGUGAUCCGGUGGUUCUGAAUGGAAGGGCCAUCGCUCAACGGAUAAAAGGUACUCCGGGGAUAACAGGCUGAUACCGCCCAAGAGUUCAUAUCGACGGCGGUGUUUGGCACCUCGAUGUCGGCUCAUCACAUCCUGGGGCUGAAGUAGGUCCCAAGGGUAUGGCUGUUCGCCAUUUAAAGUGGUACGCGAGCUGGGUUUAGAACGUCGUGAGACAGUUCGGUCCCUAUCUGCCGUGGGCGCUGGAGAACUGAGGGGGGCUGCUCCUAGUACGAGAGGACCGGAGUGGACGCAUCACUGGUGUUCGGGUUGUCAUGCCAAUGGCACUGCCCGGUAGCUAAAUGCGGAAGAGAUAAGUGCUGAAAGCAUCUAAGCACGAAACUUGCCCCGAGAUGAGUUCUCCCUGACCCUUUAAGGGUCCUGAAGGAACGUUGAAGACGACGACGUUGAUAGGCCGGGUGUGUAAGCGCAGCGAUGCGUUGAGCUAACCGGUACUAAUGA